rnacentral:tRNA from 1 species
GGGGAUUUAGCUCAGUGGUAGAGUGUUUGCCUAGCAAGCACAAGGCCCUGGGUUCAGUCCCCA